AUUGAACGCUGGCGGUAGGCCUAACACAUGCAAGUCGAACGCGAAAGUCCUUCGGGAUGAGUAGAGUGGCGGACGGGUGAGUAACGCGUAGGAAUCUAUCCUGUAGUGGGGGAUAACGUUUCGAAAGGAACGCUAAUACCGCAUACGCCCCACGGUGAAAGCGGGGGAUCGUCGGACCUCGGGCUAUAGGAGGAGCCUGCGUCGGAUUAGCUAGUUGGUGAGGUAAAGGCGCACCAAGGCGACGAUCCGUAGCUGGUCUGAGAGGAUGAGCAGCCCCACCGGAAGUGAGACACGGUCCGGACUCCUAAGGGAGGCAGCGGUGGGGAAUAUUGCGCAAUGGGCGAAAGCCUGACGCAGCCAUACCGCGGGUGGGAAGAAGGCCUUCGGGUUGUAAGGCACUUUCAGUGGGGAGGAAAAGCUGGUGGCUAAUAUCCAUCGGCCGUGACGCUACCCACAGAAGAAGCACCGGCUAAUUCCGUGCCAGCAGCCGCGGUAAAAC
rnacentral:rRNA from 1 species